ensembl:lncRNA
UUACACAAAAUGAUACUUUUUUUCUUUACAUAAUACUUUUAAAUACAUUAACAUAUUAUUUUUUUAUACCACUUUAUAUUAUUUUAUUUCAAUUUUUUUUUAAAAUAACAUAAAUGAAAUAUGUAGCCUAUAUUUUUAAGAACUUAAAAAUAUAUAUUAUUAUACACAAAAAUUGUGUUACACACAAACACAAUCACAAUCACAAUCACAUAUAUAUAUAUAUAUAUAUAUAUAUAUAUAUAUAUACAUAUAAAUAGCUAUAUACAUAGCAUACUGAAAAGCGCGUGACCUAUUUAAACAUUUUGUUUAAAAGGAAUUUAAUACCAUUUAUUCGUUAUUUAUUAUUUAUUCAUUCUUUAUUUGUUAUCUAUUCAUUCUUUAUUUAUUAUUUAUUCAUUCUUUAUUUAUUAUCUAUUCAUUCUUUAUUUAUGAUAUAUUCAUUCUUUAUUUAUUAUCUAUUUAUUCAUUUAUAUAUAUAUAUAUAUAUAUAUAUAUAUAUAUUGAUUUAUUUUUUAUUUAUUUUUUUUUCUUGUUGGUGGGGAGAGGACACAACUAAAUGGCAAUGUCGAAUGUGCAACAAAUUAUUUUUUGUUUAUGUCUAACUUUGUUCGUAACUACUUUAUCACUAGAAAAAAAUGCGGUAAAUAUUGAGCCACAUAAACAAAAUGAAAAAAAAGACAAUAUAGGAAAUGGCAUUAAUAAAGCACGUAAUAUUGUUGCAAAGUUACGUUUUUUAGAAAAAAUAGAAAAAAUUUUGGAAAAAAACAACUUAGGUGUUAUGGAUGUAAAUUUUGACCCAAAUGUUUAUAAUCCAGAUAAAAAUGCACCUAAAAGUGAACUUACAAAAAUAAAACUAAAUGAAAAAGAAGAAUCUGAUGCAUAUAAUAAUAAUAAACCUAAUUUAACUAAUUUAUCAGAAAUUAAAGUAAACAAAAUAAAAAAUAAAAAAGCAUUACGUUUAAUAGUUAGUGAAAAUCAUGCAACAACUCCAUCUUUUUUUGAAGAAUCACUUUUACAAGAAGAUGUAAUCAAUUUUAUACAUAGUAAAGGUAAAGUAUUUCAUUUACCAAAUAUGAAGUUUAUGUUAAUUGACUUAAAUAGUAAUACAAAUGAUGAAGAAUUGGAGUUAUAUAUUAAUACUUUGGAAAAUAAAGGAGCACAUGUUGAACCUGAUCAAUUAGUUGGUGGAGAUGACUUAGAUUUGACAUCUAUAAUGAAUGCAGUAAGGAAUGGAGAAGAUAACAUUGAUUUAAAAAAUUAUAGUUACAAUAAUCAAUUAACAACAGGACAAAAUGACAAUAUAAUUGCACUAGGUGAAUCUAUUUUAUCAGAUAAUAACAACCAUACUACUACAAAGAAUAGUGAUAAUAUUCAUGUUAAGAGUACCAGUAGUGAUACGGAAGAAGAAGAAGAAGAAGAAGAACAUACUUAUUUUAAAUCAAAUAAAAAUAAAAUAUAUAAAUUUAAUGAUGAAUAUAGAAAUCUUCAAUGGGGUUUAGAUUUAUCCAAAUUAGAUGAAGCACAAGAAAUAAUUAAAGAAAAUCAAAAAGUAUCUACUAAAAUUUGUGUUAUAGAUAGUGGAGUAGAUUAUAAUCAUCCUGAUUUAAAAGAUAAUAUUGAUAUAAAUAAUUCUGAAUAUUCAGGUAAAAAAGGUAUUGAUGAUGAUAAUAAUGAUGUAAUUGAUGAUAUAUAUGGAGCAAAUUUUGUAAAUAAUAGUGGUGACCCUAUGGAUGAUAAUUAUCAUGGUACACAUGUUGCUGGUAUUAUAUCUGCUAUUAGUAAUAAUAAUAUAGGAAUAGUAGGAGUUGAUUCUAAUGCUAAAUUAAUUAUAUGUAAAGCAUUAGAUGAACAUAAAAUAGGUAGAUUAGGUGAUAUAAUUAAAUGUAUUGAUUAUUGUAUAGAUAGAAAUGCAAAUAUAAUUAAUGGUAGUUUUUCAUUUGAUGAAUAUAGUUCUGUUUUUAAUGACACUACUAAAUAUAUAAAAUCCUUAGGUAUAUUAUUUGUUGUAUCUGUUGGUAAUUGUCUACAUCCAAAAUUUAUGAAACCUGACUUAAGUAAAUGUAAUUUAUCAUUCAAUGCUAGAUACCCAACUGUUCUUUCUAAUAUACAUGAUAAUAUAAUAGCUGUUGGAAAUUUACAAAAAGACUUAAAUGGUGAAUACUCUUUAUCACCAAACUCUUUUUAUGGUGAUAUAUAUUGCCAAGUAGCUGCACCUGGUACUAAUAUUUAUUCUACUACACCUUUUAAUACUUAUAGAAUGCUUAAUGGGACAUCUAUGGCAUCCCCUCAUGUUGCUGCUAUUGCUUCUAUUAUUUACUCAAUAAACCCAAAUUUAAGCUACAAAGAAAUCAUUGAAAUAAUGAAAAAAUCAAUAAUAAAAGUACCUGCUGUUCAAGAUAAAGUUGGAUGGGGUGGAUAUAUUGACAUACAUCAGGCUGCUACAUUGGCUAUUGAAUCAAAAGCACCUUAUGUACAAUUUAGUGAUUGGUUUAAGUGGAAGAAAAACCGACACUAAAUCCAAUUUUUGGCAAAAGCAUGAUGCAUUUCUGAUAAUUGGCACUUAUCAUCUAGAGUCACAUGAUACGCACACAUACGUACGUACGUACAUAUAUAUAUAUAUAUAUAUAUAUAUAUAUGUAUAUGCGCAUUUAUGCGUAAGAAACAUAAACGUUGGUAAAACGUACCGUCUAUUGGGGGAAUAUAUAAGCUUAGCGAAAUAAGCAUGCUCCUUUUUUUUAUUUUUUUAUUUUUUUGUAUUAACACAGUGAUCCAUCAUAAAUAUGAACAUAUGAGCGUAUAAGCGUAUGCGCAUAUGAACACAUGAGCAUAUGAGCAUAGGAGCUUAGAAAAAAAAUAAAAAAUAAGAAAAAGCUUUCA